CCUACGGGUGGCUGCAGUGAGGAAUAUUGGUCAAUGGGUGCGAGCCUGAACCACCCAAGUAGCGUGAAGGAUGACUGCCCUACGGGUUGUAGACUUCUUUUAUAAAGGAAUAAAGUGAGGCACGUGUGCCUUUUUGUAUGUACUUUAUGAAUAAGGAUCGGCUAACUCCGUGCCAGCAGCCGCGGUAAUACGGAGGAUCCGAGCGUUAUCCGGAUUUAUUGGGUGUAAAGGGAGCGUAGAUGGGUUGUUAAGUCAGUUGUGAAAGUUUGCGGCUCAACCGUAAAAUUGCAAUUGAGACUGGCAGCCUUGAGUACAGUUGAGGUAGGCGGAAUUCGUGGUGUAGCGGUGAAAUGCGUAGAUAUCACGAAGAACUCCGAUUGCGAAGGCAGCUUACUAAACUGCCACUGACAUUGAUGCUCGAAAGUGUGGGUAUCAAACAGGAUUAGAUACCCCAGUAGUC
rnacentral:rRNA from 1 species